UUGCCAUGGCUACCUCUGCCACAUUGCAAGCUGAUGUGACCAGCCUGCUCUCCAAUGCCAACCCCACAACCGCCCUCAGUUGCUUUUGGGCAGCGCUUCUGGUUUCCCAGGACGGUCCAGACCUACAGCGGCGGAUCUGAGGCCAAAUUCUGCAGAUGUUCAUCUAUAUAAUUCUAUAGAGGGUUUCCAGCACUGAAUUCAUUCAACCAUGGGCAAGGAAAGUAUGCCCAUUGUUAAGUAUCCCAGGACAGUUGACCCUCUUUGGUAUGAAUGGGAUAGGAAGGCCCAGAAAUGCGGACUAAGGCACACCGUUUACGCGGUCAAUGGUGACCGGUACACCGGCGAAUGGCUGGACAACCUAAAACACGGUA